UUGACUCAUGGAUGGGCGACCGGGACGGUUGAAGGGAGACAUGGGUGUGAAUGAUGCGUCUAGGAAAGGUUGGAAAGGUUGUUGGGGUGUUUGGAAGAGAUAUGGUUGUGGGAUGUUUUGGUAUUGUGAUGUUUGGGGUUCUUGGCUACGGUAGGAGGAGGGGCGGUUAGUGUUUUGGCUAAGGCGACUUUGGUAGGGUGAUGGUGUGGGUGCGAAGCGAUGUUCGGUCUGAGGUUG
rnacentral:lncRNA from 1 species